UACGGAGGAUGCGAGCGUUAUCCGGAUUUAUUGGGUUUAAAGGAUGCGUAGGCGGAUUGAUAAGUCAGUGGUGAAAUUCUACAGCUUAACUGUAGACUUGCCGUUGAUACUGUUAGUCUUGAGUGUGGUCAAGGAAGGCGGAAUGUGUAAUGUAGCGGUGAAAUGCUUAGAGAUCACAUAGAAUAUCGAUUGCGAAGGCAGCUCACAAAGCCAAGAUUGACGCUGAGGCACGAAAGCGUGGGGAGCAAA
rnacentral:rRNA from 1 species